GGGAAUAUUGCACAAUGGGCGAAAGCCUGAUGCAGCAACGCCGCGUGAAGGAAGAAGGCCUUCGGGUCGUAAACUUCUGUCCUUGGGGAAGAAGAACUGACGGUACCCAAGGAGGAAGCCCCGGCUAACUACGUGCCAGCAGCCGCGGUAAUACGUAGGGGGCAAGCGUUAUCCGGAUUUAUUGGGUGUAAAGGGCGUGUAGGCGGGAAUGCAAGUCAGAUGUGAAAACUAUGGGCUCAACCCAUAGCCUGCAUUUGAAACUGUAUUUCUUGAGUGCUGGAGAGGCAAUCGGAAUUCCGUGUGUAGCGGUGAAAUGCGUAGAUAUACGGAGGAACACCAGUGGCGAAGGCGGAUUGCUGGACAGUAACUGACGCUGAGGCGCGAAAGCGUGGGGAGCAAACAGG
rnacentral:rRNA from 1 species